rnacentral:rRNA from 1 species
UACGGAGGGAGCUAGCGUUGUUCGGAAUUACUGGGCGUAAAGCGCACGUAGGCGGCUUUGUAAGUUAGAGGUGAAAGCCCGGGGCUCAACUCCGGAACUGCCUUUAAGACUGCAUCGCUUGAAUCCAGGAGAGGUGAGUGGAAUUCCGAGUGUAGAGGUGAAAUUCGUAGAUAUUCGGAAGAACACCAGUGGCGAAGGCGGCUCACUGGACUGGUAUUGACGCUGAGGUGGCGAAAGCGUUGGGGAGCAAACAGG